rnacentral:rRNA from 1 species
AAGCGGAGGAAAAGAAACUAACAAGGAUUCCCCUAGUAACUGCGAGUGAAGCGGGAAAAGCUCAAAUUUAAAAUCUGGCGUGCCUUUGGCCGUCCGAGUUGUAGUCUGGAGAAGUGUUUUCUGUGCUGGACCGUGUACAAGUCCCUUGGAACAGGGCGUCAUAGAGGGUGAGAAUCCCGUCUUUGACACGGACUACCAGUGCUCUGUGAUGCGCUCUCAAAGAGUCGAGUUGUUUGGGAAUGCAGCUCAAAAUGGGUGGUAAAUUCCAUCUAAAGCUAAAUAUAGGCGAGAGACCGAUAGCGAACAAGUACCGUGAGGGAAAGAUGAAAAGCACUUUGGAAAGAGAGUUAAACAGUACGUGAAAUUGCUGAAAGGGAAACGCUUGAAGUCAGUCGCGUCUGCCAGGACUCAGCCUUGCUUUUUUGCUUGGUGCACUUUCUGGUAGAUGGGCCAGCAUCAAUUUUGACCGUCAGAAAAAGUUGGAGGGAAUGUGGCACCUUUCGAGGUGUGUUAUAGCCUUUCAUCGCAUAUGACGGUUGGGAUUGAGGACCGCAGCACGCCUUUAUGGCCGGGGCUUUGCUCACGUAACGUGCUUAGGAUGCUGGCUUAAUGGCUUUAAG